rnacentral:tRNA from 1 species
AAAUCUUUAGGUUAUUAAAGACCGUUAGCCUUCAAAGUUAGAAGAGAAAAUAGCCAUUUUCAAGAUUUG